rnacentral:rRNA from 1 species
CCUACGGGAGGCAGCAGUGGGGAAUAUUGGACAAUGGGCGAAAGCCUGAUCCAGCAAUGCCGCGUGAGUGAUGAAGGCCUUAGGGUUGUAAAGCUCUUUUACCAGGGAUGAUAAUGACAGUACCUGGAGAAUAAGCUCCGGCUAACUCCGUGCCAGCAGCCGCGGUAAUACGGAGGGAGCUAGCGUUGUUCGGAAUUACUGGGCGUAAAGCGUGCGUAGGCGGUUAUUCAAGUCAGAGGUGAAAGCCCGGGGCUCAACCCCGGAACGGCCUUUGAAACUAGAUAACUAGAAUCUUGGAGAGGUUAGUGGAAUUCCGAGUGUAGAGGUGAAAUUCGUAGAUAUUCGGAAGAACACCAGUGGCGAAGGCGACUAACUGGACAAGCAUUGACGCUGAGGUACGAAAGCGUGGGGAGCAAACAGGAUUAGAUACCCUGGUAGUCCACGCCGUAAACGAUGAUAACUAGCUGUCCGGGCACUUGGUGCUUGGGUGGCGCNGCUACGACAUAAGUUAUUACGUCCGUCGGGUAGGUACGGUCGGUCGAGAUAAACUAACUAACUAGUAAUUAGUACGGCGUGAGACGCGACGACGACGACGACGAGGAGGAGG